AGAACCUUUAAGAGCAGUCCAGAGAGGCUGACAAGGUGGGCGAUACUUUGUUUGGAGAACGUAUUUAUACACAUAAUAUAUUAUUGUGUGAAUAAUACGGUUAUUUCUGACACCUUCCACUUGUCACUUUAUGGCAAGUGGUUUUUUUU
rfam:Bacillus sp. FJAT-27986 scaffolf11, whole genome shotgun sequence.